rnacentral:rRNA from 1 species
GCCUAGCCCUAAAUCCUGAUGCUUACCAUACCAAAGCAUCCGCCUGAGAACUACGAGCACAAACGCUUAAAACUCUAAGGACUUGGCGGUGCCCCAAACCCACCUAGAGGAGCCUGUUCUAUAAUCGAUAACCCACGAUCCACCCGACCACCCCUUGCCAGAACAGCCUACAUACCGCCGUCGCCAGCUCACCUCUCCUGAGAGCCCAACAGUGAGCACAAUAGCCUAACCCACUAACAAGACAGGUCAAGGUAUAGCUCAUGGGGUGGAAGAAAUGGGCUACAUUUUCUAUAGUAGAAAACCUACGAAAGAGGGUAUGAAAUAGCCCCCGGAAGGCGGAUUUAGCAGUAAAGGGGAACAAUAGAGUCCCCUUUAAGUUGGCCCUGAGGCACG